AGCUCUGUGCCUCAGUUUCCUUAUCCAUACAAUGAGGACUUUGUAUAGAUGGCUUUGGAUAGAUCUUUCCAGUUUUGAGUCUGUUGUCUAUGAUCCUGUGGCCAGGAUGGUGAAUAAUUUGGGUAAGGAGGAAAAAUGGAGCUGGAGCCAGAGGCUGAGGUAAAAGAAGGAGUUGUCUUGAGUCACUUGUUCAAUCACACCACCUGAUUUGGGAGAUCUAUGCUCUAAAUGACCUUUAGUCAAGGCAGGCCUUUUUGUGUCUCCUCCUUAUAGCACCUAAACAUUGUCAUCUCUUAUUUCAUGCCAGGUGAAUGAGUAUUGAAGAUGGAAUUGAGCAGGCCACGACUUUGUGAGCUUUCAAAGGUCAGAAGAACCACCAAUGAUUUUAAGGAACAAGCCCUGGGGAACAACCUUCCUGACCAAUCCCAAUAGUGGAUUAAUCUGGGAGCCAAGAUGCCAUGUCCAGCAAAUUAUGCUAUACUUGGAAGUGUAAUCAGUGAUAGAAGGAAUGUUUGCAUCAUGCACAGUA